GAUGAACGCUGGCGGCGUGCCUAACACAUGCCAGUCGAACGGAGAUUCCGGACGGAAGUUUUCGGAUGGAAGCCUGUAAUUCUUAGUGGCGGACGGGUGAGUAACGCGUGGGCAACCUGCCCUAUACAGGGGGAUAGCAGCUGGAAACGGCUGGUAAGACCGCAUAAGUCGGUUAAAUCGCAUGAUUUGAUCGGGAAAUGAGCAAUCAGGUAUAGGAUGGGCCCGCGUCCGAUUAGCCAGUUGGCAGGGUAAAAGCCUACCAAAGCGACGAUCGGUAGCCGGACUGAGAGGUCGGACGGCCACAGUGGGACUGAGACACGGCCCAAACUCCUACGGGAGGCAGCAGUGGGGGAUAUUGCACAAUGGAGGAAACUCUGAUGCAGCGACGCCGCGUGAGUGAAGAAGUAUUUCGGUAUGUAAAGCUCUAUCAGCAGGGAAGAUGAUGACGGUACCUGACUAAGAAGCCCCGGCUAACUACGUG
rnacentral:rRNA from 1 species